CAGCUCCUCCCUCGCUAACCUGUCCAUCUCCGCACUCCGGCAGCUUUCCUCCGUGCUGGGCAUUCCGACAGGCGUAAGGGGGAACUGGUGCAAGGGUAACAAGAGUCGUGGAGAGUAGAGAGAAAUACUGAAAGGAAAAUGAUGUGCUGGAUUACGUGGCCGGUGCUGAGGUAACAGUCCUCCUUUGUUACUGGCACUGAGAAAAACACUGAUGAAGAAGUCGAGGUUCUGCUGAAAGUCGGUGGGGAGAAGAUAGUGGUGAGCAGGAACAGCUGGUGGUGAAGUGGACCAGAAAGCUGCAGCCAGAAGAGAGCCAUCUCUUUGAGCAAACCCAGCAACCAGUCAACUUGAAAAGCCCUGGGAAGGCAAGAAUUAGGAUGGAUGGCAAGGAAAGACAUAUUGAGACAGUUGUAGGAGUUCAGAAGGGCACCAUCCACUUGGCAAUAAUAAUGAAUGGAGACCAGCAUGUCCUCUUGGCAUCGUGACUUGUUUGAGAUUCAGAUGGAGAGUGAAGAAAGUUUGCAGCAACACUCACCAUGUGGAAGCUCUACAUUGUCACCAUGACUGCCCAGGAUCCUUGUAUAGCAAAUCAGCAGCAGGAUUACUGGGGCAGGUAGAAGUUCAGAGGAGCAGAUAAAGAUGAAGAGGUUGUGAGAAUGCACUUGUGAUGUGGAACAGGCGAUGGGGGAGACAGUCUUUGGCAUUCAAGCAUAGUUUGAUUUCUUCAUGUGUGAGUCGAGGACAGACAGCUUGCAGAUGCUAUCCGUGGGAUGGAAAAAAGUGAUUACUGCACUUGCUUCUUUGGCCAGGAUGACUAUCAGAAUGCCCCAGGCUGUGCCAGGAUGGAUGACAAGGAUUUACAAAAAUGCAGGAGGUACAAGUAAUGAGAAAUCAACAGUUGCAAAACAAAAUUUCAAGAGAAUGAGAGAAGGGGAACAGGUACACAAGCUGAGAAGUGGGAGUUAUCAAACAGAGCUGGCACAGUGACUGGAUGGAUAUCUCAUCACAUAUUGCCAUCCAUGUCCAUUUUUGGUUUUAAUUGAGCAUUACUUUGUCUGCUGGUUUCGUUAAUGUAGUGGUGUAUGUGAACCCACCACAACUCAUGGGGGAGUAAGUAGAUUAAGCCUUAUUUACCCACCCCAUUGUGGUAUGUUAUGAGUCUGAAAUGGGAAUCUGUUAUUGGGAUGGACUUACUACUGCUAACAAUUGCAAUAUCUUAUUUGAUAAAAAAGCUUAGUACACUAGAAAGAUUAUAGAUCCUUGCAAAUGCCAGGCCUAAUCAAAUUUGAUGAUAUGCAAGUGGCAGCUGUUCAUCAUGACCAACACAGGCACUGAAUUCAAACAGUGCUCCUCUCCUUAUAGUCUGGGUUGUAGUACCGUUUAUUUACUUCCCUGUGGGUUGAGUGGCUUAUAUAGGUGUCACUGCAUCAAUGAGAAACUGUCUCGUAUUGAAAGCUAAACCAAAAACACACAUGGAGAGCAGUGACAGUUUCCCUAAUGUGGUUGGUUACAUGCUAAUUCUGUGUACCAAACAAAAUAAACUAUAAUAAUAAA